rnacentral:rRNA from 1 species
ACUAGGAUUCCCUUAGUAACGGCGAGUGAACCGGGAUGAGCUCAAAUUUGAAAUCUGGCGUCUUUCAGGCGUCCGAGUUGUAAUCUAUAGAGGCGUUUUCCGCGCCGGACCGCGUCCAAGUCUCUUGGAAUAGAGUAUCAAAGAGGGUGACAAUCCCGUACUUGACGCGACAACCGGUGCUCUGUGAUACGUUCUCAAUGAGUCGAGUUGUUUGGGAAUGCAGCUCUAAAUGGGUGGUAAAUUCCAUCUAAGGCUAAAUAUUGGCGAGAGACCGAUAGCGAACAAGUACCGUGAGGGAAAGAUGAAAAGCACUUUGGAAAGAGAGUUAAACAGCACGUGAAAUUGUUAAAAGGGAAACGAUUGAAGUCAGUCGUGUGGGAAGUAUUCAGCCGUCUCUGGCGGUGUAUUUGCUUCUCACGGGUCAACAUCAGUUUGAUCCGGUAGAAAAAGGCGGGAAGAAGGUGGCACCCUCGGGUGUGUUAUAGCUUCCUGUCAUAUGUGCCGGACCAGACUGAGGAACGCAGCUUGCAGCAAUGCCGGGGUUCGCCCACGUACAAGCUUAGGAUGUUGACAUAAUGGCUUUAAACGACCCGUCUUGAAACACGGACC